rnacentral:lncRNA from 1 species
AAAUCAUGGACGGUGGCUCCUACUGGAAUAUCUCUAAAGGACCUCCUCUUACUGCCAAAAGCUUCCAACAAAGAUGAAAUGCUGUGUUUGCUCCCUCUACCUUCAGACUCUGACUAAGAUAGUCCUCCUGAACUCGGAUUCUCCUCCAUCGAUCGUUGAUCCAGACUCCGAUUCAUAGCAUGAUGGUUCAAAUCGCUUUCUAUACCUGAUCAUUUCCUCCUGCCAGUAUUGAUCAUCCAAGCUUGCCUGAAUGACAGUCUCAAUCUGUGCCUCCUCAUCAUCUGGAGCGGAAGCCUCCUCUGACUUUCUAAAGUGAUAAGAAGGUGGCUCUGUAGCUCGACGAUCCACUUCCGCCCUCUUCUGUUUGUCCUUUCCUUUGCUGUUUUUGAAUCAACGAAGUACUUCUUCAUCAACUGUCGGACCUCUUGUGGGCAUUUUCGAUAUAUGGACACAUCAAGAUAACCAUCAGUCAGGUAUUGCUUCAAUCUACUCACUCCUUUUUUCCUAAACUCUGUGUCGCACCAUUUGUAUUUUCAAUGAUGUCGAGCUGAGCGCAUUUCGUCAUGAUUCCAACUAAUGUAAUGCUCUGAAUUUUUCUUCUUACUCAUUUCUGCAAGUAUAACAAAACACAGC